rnacentral:rRNA from 1 species
CAGCCGCCGCGGUAAUACCAGCCCCGCGAGUGGUCGGGACGGUUAUUGGGCCUAAAGCGCCCGUAGCCGGCCCGGCAAGUCCCUCCUUAAAGCCUCGGGCCCAACCCGAGGACGGGGGGGAUACUGCCGGGCUAGGGGGCGGGAGAGGCCGGCGGUACUCCCGGGGUAGGGGCGAAAUCCGUUAAUCCCGGGAGGACCACCAGUGGCGAAGGCGGCCGGCUGGAACGCGCCCGACGGUGAGGGGCGAAAGCCGGGGGAGCGAACCGGAUUAGAUACCCGGGUAGUCCCGGCUGUAAACGAUGCGGGCUAGCUGUUGGGCGGGCUUAGAGCCCGCCCAGUGGCGCAGGGAAGCCGUUAAGUCCGCCGCCUGGGGAGUACGGCCGCAAGGCUGAAACUUAAAGGAAUUGGCGGG